UUUAUAUCGAUAUUUCCUAACGCUGUCAAACAAUUAUCAACGCGAGUGUAACGUAACGCGGUUGUUUGUCAUGAUGCGCGUCAUCGAGACCGAUAACCGGUUGUUCGGUUCAUUACUCCAAAAUUGCGAGAGCAACUCUAGAUACGUAUCAAAUUUCCCUGACGUUGGACCGAGCCGUGGGGAACAGUGGAGUGACCACCUUCGCUCCAUUAGAUUUUUAUCUACGGAGGAAAUUAACCCUUUGCACUCGAGGCCUUUUUUCUGGUAUCUGCCAAGAGAAUAAAGUCAUCUUUAUCUCCCCGACAAUCAUUUUAUCGAUACUUCGAGCUCCAAAGAAAUUAUACCUAAAGAAACAUUAGGUAUUAUAGAUUUGCUGCGUGAAAAUUAAUGAUAACUGGGAGUCACCUCUCGAGCGCAAAGGGUUAAAACACGUUCAUCCACCGUAAUCUCACAACGGCACGGGAUACGAUGAAUUGCCGCAGCAUACGAAACUCAAGUAAACAAUAAUAUUUAUUAUUUCAUUUUGAAUCGAUGUUUCUCCGAAAGAAUUGCAACCUAAUUGUUUAAACUAAUUAGACGCGGUUAAUCCAUGAUCUGAUUACGCAUAAAGUGUUUAAAAGGUGGAUACCGUUUUUCUCUUUUACUUUCGACCACGAUUCUACGAAAAUUCGCUUAUGCGCAGCGUUCAAAAGAGAGGAGUGAACACGCCAGCUGGCCCAUCCAGCUGGUUACGCGCUCGAGCCCGGCAGAUGCAGCUGUCACGGUCGCGCCCGAUGCUGCCCAGCCUCGAAUACCAACCAGCGGCCUUCGAUUAUUUCCGUUGAACGAACGAUAAACAAGUGCGCAUAUCUAUAGAUUUAGGAGCUAAAAAUGAAACGGAACACGCGCAUAUCCCAUCACGACGACGAGUGGAAGGAAACGUCGGUAAAACUCGCGAGGAACGGAAUGCGAAGUAGCGACAGAGAGGAAAUCGACGGGGGAAGGGCGAGCAAGCACGGCGGUAGAAAUUAAUACUGGCAGCAGAGCGAAUCGCGGAGGGGAUGCGAAAAGGCAGCUGCGUAGCGACGCGAAGGGUCCACCGAAUCGUUCCACCUCGGAACGGGUCACAGGACAAACAACUCGGUGUUCUUCUCCAUGGCGCGCUUCAAGCUUCCUUCGAGGGCAUUGUAAUCCUGCUGCCGAUGGUCCAGAAGAGCGUUCACUUGCUCCCGCAGAGAUCGGAUCUCGUCG